rnacentral:lncRNA from 1 species
CCCCUGGAUUUUCCUCGCCGGGAGCCGAAGUUAAAAAUUAUUCAAAGGAGAAAUUCCUGGCCUGUGAAGCGGAGGCUCCGACUGUACCAGGCAAAGAUUUCCACCAGCAUUCCCUCGCUCGGCCAAGGCCGAGAUAACAGAGCAGGAAGAAAUCCCCACUUCCCAGAUUCCAUCGGCAGCUCCCAUUCCCACCUCGUUUUUCCUCGUUUUUCUCCUUUUGGGAUGAGGAUUUGGCCUCUUCUCCUCGGUUUUUGCCGGAGUUUAAAGGACAAAGAGGACAGGGCACCACAAGUCCACCUCUGGUUUUGCCACCGGUCGCUCGGAGCCAAUUUCCCCGCGAAAUCCUCGCGCUCCAAGGUCGCCCUUUCCAGGACGCGGAAGAGGAAAACUCUCCUGGCUCCUCAUCCUUCCAAGCUUUUCCUUCCCCACCCGGAGGCUGAUCUGGCUUUGGGAGAAGCUCCUUGUGCUUCCAGCACUGAAGUUUUUCCCUGGGUUUCGUGCUGGUCCUGCGGGAGCUUCCAGGGAGCAGAAGGGAAGAUUUUAUUGGAAUGGAACUUUGGGACUUCCUUGUUCAUUUGUGUUAAAUCAGCCUUAACCUCCUGUUUCUCUUUUAGAUCUGGAUUAAACCAGGUUUAUCUUCAUGUUUCCAUUUUGGAUCUGGCUUAAAUCAGGUUUAACCUCACAUUUCCCUUUUAGAGCUGUCUUAACCCAGGCUUAAUUUCAUCUUUCUCUUUUGGAGCUGUAUUAAGUCAAGCCUUACCUCAUCUUUCUCCUCCAGACCUUUAUUAAAGUUUAACCUCCUGUUUCUCCUUUAAAUCUGUCUUAAACCAGGCUUAACCCCCUCUUUCCAUUCUAAAUGCGUAUUAAACCAGGUUUAACCUCCUCUUUCCCUUUUGGAUCUGUAUCAGAUUGAACCUCAUUUUCUAUUUUAGAUCUGUCUUAAAUCAGGUUUAUCUUUU